GAGUUGAUUCGGGAAGUAACGAUGUGGACUUGGUUUUAAGACAGAUGUUUUAGAAUUUUUAUGUUGAGACUUGUUUCAAUCUUGAUUAGCAUUUACUGAUAGUUAGUUAUUUACUAAAGAUUCCUCUUUUUUCUUUUUUUUUUGGUUUGAAAGUUCUCUGGCCGAGGCAUUUUAGUCAUUUAAUAAAUCAUAAGAAUUUAGGGUGUUUCAACAACCACUCAAUAUUUCUUCUCGUUUAUGCGAAACGAGAAGAUCUCUGAAUACACUCCCUCUCUGUUGUUGCUCUCUUUUCCUAUCUCCCUUUUGGGCUGGC
rnacentral:lncRNA from 1 species